rnacentral:rRNA from 1 species
UACGUAGGGUGCGAGCGUUGUCCGGAUUUAUUGGGCGUAAAGAGCUCGUAGGCGGUUUGUCGCGUCGGCCGUGAAAUCUCCACGCUUAACGUGGAGCGUGCGGUCGAUACGGGCAGACUUGAGUUCGGUAGGGGAGACUGGAAUUCCUGGUGUAGCGGUGAAAUGCGCAGAUAUCAGGAGGAACACCGGUGGCGAAGGCGGGUCUCUGGGCCGAGACUGACGCUGAGGAGCGAAAGCGUGGGGAGCGAACAGG